ensembl:misc_RNA
UCUUGAGUCAAAUGUGGCAACAAUUCUUAGAGCGGGAAGUCCCAAAGCAGUGUGCAGAGAGCGAAGGAACAAACAGAACUGUCUGGAUGGCAGCAGGUCUUAGCAGAGGUGAACACUGCGUAGAAAAUAUGUUGUUUCUUUAGCUGCAGCACUGAAGCCAAAGCCUGCCAACUUUUCACAGUACUGAGCCCNN